GCGAAGAGUGCCGCUCCAUUCUCCGCUGCCAAAGCCGGCCGCGACAGCGACGCGACUGCGAGCUCUGCCGCCUUCCAUGGGGUUCUUGAGCGUAUGCAAAAGAUUUUUGCACAUAUUCAUCUUUUUGGCCGUUUUCGGUGCGUUUCGUGGAGCUCGCUGGCUCCUGACGGGUUCCCGCAACAAUUUUGUGCGGCAUCUGAGUUUUGAGUUUUUUGCGCGCUCUAAAGAAAUUCUGUUCCCGUGUUUUUGGAGUCUGGUUCUGGUUCCACGUCUCCGUCUUGCAUCUUUCCAGCAGAUUCCGAUACUUCCUACAUCUGCGUCACGAUAUUCUUGCUAUUUUUCGAUCCAGAGUGUAUUUUUUUUCUCGAGACGAGUGUGUGUCUGUGCAAAUGUAUCUGUAACUGUAAUUGUAUCUGUGCGAUGUCUUGGGGAAUAAGUUCGCCCAAAAAUUUCAGCAUCAUUCAGUUUCUGUCAAGACAGAAAAAUAUUUUUUAUGUGUGCGUUUUUUUUCUGGAGAGUUGUGCGCCAAAUGGCCUUGUGAAUUGGGGGGUUUAAAGGGUAUUUGCAUGUGAAACAGAUGUGCAGAUUAGUUGGAGUCGAAACAGAUGGAUCCAUCUAUGAACAACACCAUUUUUUUUUGGGAUCAACGAUCAACGGUUGCUCCAUGUGAAUACUGUGGAAAUGUUGUGCGAAUCCCGAGUGCAAAGAACAGACUUCCAAGACCGUGAGAUGAACAGGAAGUGCAGGACUCACUACACCCCACACAUCUGGUGAAUGUGUGGCCGUCGCUGUAGACCCGUUACCAUCGCCGUGUACCCAUGGGGUACAGAGCGAGGUGCUUUUUGACUGUUUGGAACAUUUUUAAAGAUUACGUUAAAACGUUGUUGAUACUUAUUGAAAUAUUGUUUUAUUUAAUUGAAUAAUAAUAAUAAUAAUAAUAAUAAUAAUAAUAAUAACACAUAUAAUACUAUUUAUAUAAUACCAAAACGAAAACGAAGACGAUAGAAGAUCCGUCAACAUAAUACAAAUGUAAUAAUAAUAGCAGCGAUAACGAUAACGAUAACAACUUAUGUGCAAUCAUUUAAACUUAUUAUUUUGAAACCUUCUUAUCACUAAAUAACUGAAUAAUUUGUAUAUAAUUUCCAUCAAUCAAUUCUACGACAAAACAAAAAAAACAACAACAACAAAGAUCUAACAACAACAACAUCAACAGCAACAACAACAACAUCAAGAGGAAAUAGUACAACAAAUUAAAGUUAAUCUUCAGUUGUAUGGAAAAACAAAAAGUGAUUUUCAGUUAGUUUCUCAAAAUUUAACAAACAAAAUUCACAACAAAAUUUGGAAUACAACAAACAACAACUACAACAAACACAGCAACAGCAACAACUACAACUACAACAACAGCAACUACAACUACAACAAACAACAACUACAACAACAGCAACAAGAAAAUAAUAACAAAUAAUAGAGUAGAUAAAGGAAUAAUAAAAGAGAAAACUGUAACCAUAAUACGAGAACCCCAAUAAAAGGACAACCACAGAUAUCGAAGGAUAAUAACAAAUCAGAGCGCAACAAACCAAGAAACCAGCAAACAAACAGAAGAAACAGAAGAACAGAACACACAACCAAAAGCAAACAGCCAAUAAACCAGACCACAAAGCAGACAGCAGAUCAAACAAACCGGAAAUAGAAACCAAACGAAGGAGCCAACACACAGCACACGAAAACGGAAAUAGAAAUAGCAACAGAAAACGAAAUCGAAACAGAAACAGAAAACCGGAAA